AGAGGUUGCGGACAGAGAACAGGCUCCUGAAGCAGAGGAUAGAUACACUAGAGAAAGAAAGUGCUUCCUUGGCAGAUAGAUUGAUCCAGGGACAAGUGACUCGAGCUCAGGAGGCAGAGGAGAACUACCUGGUCAAGCGGAGCUGGCCACAGUCAAACAGCAAGGUGAAGAGGCCAGUGCUCUGCUAGAGCAGGCCAAGACAACCAUCAGGCAGUUCCAGCAGCAGCAGCCGCAAGCGGUAAGGAGGGCUACAGAGUCCCCAGCUGGCAGGUG